rnacentral:lncRNA from 1 species
UGCCUUUUCCUCAGCGGGGAGGUCGACCGUUGGAGGUGACGAACCCUAACCGAACUUCUUACCGAGGCUUGAUUUGUGUGUGUUACUCCUUAAUCUCUGUGUGAAGUUCAGAUUUCUAAUCACCAUCUUGGUGCUUGCUGGUUUCAGGUUUUGUGAGUGAAUGAAGCAAAACAACAGGAAGGAAAUAGAGCGGGUAGUGUGUCAUCAUGCACACAGUUUGCCUUCCAUUGACGUGUGCACAACAGGGACCAUGCAUUGGAACAUCGAAUUCAACCGGCUUACAAGUUGAAGAGAAGGUUACGUAUGCUCUUUGUGAGCAGUACUAAGUAAUCUAAUGAUCUGCUCCAUGCAAUCUAAGAAAAAUAAAUGUGCAAGCCAUUUCUGAUAGAAGGUCUGGGUAUUAACUAUUUUUGUUUGUGUCUACAAGCUUUUGACUUUCUUGCCCGGUCUAUUGUUAUUUGCAAUAUUGGAUACUCUUGCCAUUUCUUGUGAAUAUUUUUUUGUUUGUCAUACUCUCAAUAUACUGCAUAUUAACUCUAUAUUGCAGAAUAUUUGAACAAUCAGAAUCUACAAGAAGGCAAGGAUAACUAUAUUAAACAUUUCACGAGAUCCUUCCAAUUAUUGGCACAAACUCCUUUUCAAGAUAUUACGGGUGUGGUUGACUACCGGAGAUUAUCAGAUGGAAAGAACGCAUAUCCUUCAUCUUUAUUUAGAUGUUUAAUUAGAUGCACAAGCGUACAUGAUUAUGUGCCAUAUCCCUUUUCUAUCCAGCUGCUGCAUUCUUUUCUUUCGUAUGUGUUGUCAUGGUCAUUAGUUUAGAUUGUGUUAAUAUUUAUGAUAUGGCCCAGAGUUGUGUUCUGUUUUUGCUCAUGCUUGCUGCUUGCAUGAUUGAACAUCUGGUGUUUUGUCUGAUCAACCAUUUGUGUGCAGUAGUAUUCAUUUUAUCCUUGAUCAUGUGCGUGUGUACAUGUACUGAAGUAGUUUUAAUUGAUAUAAAAGUUUUCAUUUAUUGCAGCAAUUUGACUUUAACUAGCCAUAGUCUACAAGGAACAUUAGGAGUAGACUAUAACUUUCCAUCUGGAAAGUGUUUUCUAUGCAGAAUUGGUUAGCAUUAUCUCUAGAUACAACUAUUACUAUUCAAUAGAUAACUUACAUGUUGCCGCAAACUGAUGUUUCUUCAACUGUACAGACUGAUGGUGAUGAUAUAUACUUAUAUGCCCAUUAUCGAGUGAUAGCUAUUGUUCUCUACCAAUGGUAUGUUUGCAACUGCAACCCAUAUUCCAAUGAUGGCCAUAGCCGAGAUGACAUGCAUCUGCGGGGAGAAUCACCAUGACGGACUGCAUCUGCCCAGACGAUUUUUGCAACGGCCACGACGAAGUGCAUCUCUCAAUUCCAGGAUCAGCAUGCUGGAUGAAUCCUCCUUGCCUGUUAAGUCGCAAUGGUGCAACCAAACACCAUGGAGGCUUCUGUAUUAGGGACGGUGAAUCUGCAUCGACAGUGAUGGAUGGAAAUUGCUCGCCCUCCUUCCUCCAUAAACCAUGGGGACCUUGUAUACUUGUAUUAGCCUCCCCAUCUAUCCAUCAGGAAGCCCUGACUUCCCCUGCUAUUGCUGUCGAAAACGCUACCCUUGCAGAACAUGAACUGAACUUAAGUAUGGCACAUGGAGCUUCAG